CAGCGCAGGAGCAAUCAGUCACUCCAUCAUGGUUUCGCUCCUUAGCCACCCUUCGCCUGAUGCCAAGAAGGGAAAUAACACCUCCUAAGUGUUGGAUAACUGCUCAGGCUGAGAGCUACUCCUAAACUGGAGGCCUGAGAGUGCAGUGAGCAUUCUGCUGCCACACUGCAGUCAGGGGCCAGGCCAAGGCUGGCUCAGGUCCAAGAAGGGUGCCACCCAGCCCAGCAAGUUGGUGCCCCGGGAAGAAUUGUGGACCCACCCAUGAGCAUCAGUAGAAGGAGCAACUUGCAGCAUUCAUUCAACCAAGUUUUUGGAGAUUAUUUCCCAAUGUUCCAGGUCCAACCCCCUCAUUUUCCAGAAGAG
rnacentral:lncRNA from 1 species